rnacentral:lncRNA from 1 species
GGUAAACAUGAUAACUUUUCUUGCAGGAAGCACUAUAAAGACCCUAUUAUGCGGCCAUCGCCAAGUUUCAUUACUUAAAAUUGUCAUUAUUCGAAGAAAAGGAAGUGUCAAUACCGUAUUCAGAGUUUCAGACAACGGGAAGUAAAUAGGAUAAUUUUUCUGGCAGGAAGCACUAACAGAAAUCUAUCAUUAUACAAUAUUCGAAUUAUACAUACAAUCUGGCAGGAAGUGUCAUUAAACAUUUGAAAUAACCAUAGAGAGACUGAACCAUCGUCGACAUGCUUGAUAGUUUGCUUCUACAUAAUACACGAGCCACGCGAACCAGCAGUAGAGGAAACAAGGUGAUGGAGCUUGGGGUCGGAGAAGCUUGCUAGGGGCUCUCCUUGAGCGAGGAUUGCUCUAGGGAGGAGAUCAAGGCGGCUGCCUUGGUUCUGUUAGAUGUGAGAGAGAGAGAGCGAGAGAGCAAAGCUCCUGUUCAGAGACACCGCCGUACGCCCCGCCUGCCGCCGCCCCCUCCUGCCACUCCUUGACGCGGCUGCGGCGGCACUCCAUCUUGUCGUCGAGCCACCGCUGCCUGCCGCCGCCGCCGAGCACGAGUACGCUCGUGGCGCGGACGCAAGGGCAUGGAGUACGCCCGCAGCUCCACAUGAUGCUCGGCCUCAGCGCUCGGGCGGAGCAGCGCGAGCGACACGGGCUGGCGGGACCGUGGAGCCAUGUCGCGAGGCCAAACGACGGCACGGGCGGGUGGGAC